ACCCAGAAAGCUCAUCAUUUUGGGUCUGGUAAAAUUCAACUCGUUCGGUAAUCCUUCUACUAACCAACUCCAAAAAGUGCGAGAACUUUAGAAACUAGAGAGAUUGAAUUCCAGAAUAUCAAAAUUUUGGAAAGAUGAGAAGAAACAAUGGAGGAAAUUACACAAACCCAUGUCUAACAAUGCACCAACCAUGGGCUUCUCUCCUAGUUUAUGGCAUUAAACGAGUUGAGGGUCGAUCCUGGCCUGCCCCUCUCCGAGGUCGAGUGUGGAUACAUGCAGCUAGUAAGGUUCCUGAACCUGAAACUAUAAAAGCAAUAGAAGACUUCUACAGAGAAAUAUAUGCAGUGAAUGGAAUAGAGGAUCUCAAGUUUCCAGAUAAUUAUCCAACUUCACUGUUGUUAGGUUGCGUGGAGGUGGUUGGAUGUAUUUCAUGUGAAGAGCUACAAAGCUGGGAGGAAUUGCCAGAAGGGGUCAGAUUGGAGGGACAAACUGAUUUUUGCUGGUUGUGCGAGCAGCCACAGAAACUACUAAUCCCAUUUGAAAUGCGAGGGCAACAAGGUGUUUACAAUUUGGAGAAAAAGAUAUACGAGGCAGCAGUAAGAGGUUUGCGUCCAGUUGAAGCUCCAUACCCUGUCAAGUUUCCGCUUGUAGAUCCUCAAGAUCCUUAUUCGCUGAAACCAGGAUCACUCGCUUGUCUCUCUAAAAACUCCAAAGCUUCUGAAUUGGGAAUGUCAUCUAAUCUUAGCAAUGUUAUAGCUGGUGCACGAGUGGCUGCCACACAGUUCUCAAGGGAAAAUAAGGGCGAUUCUGGUGUUGAAUCUGGAGCAGAAAUUCCUGUUUCUUCAAGAACAAGGAAUCAAUUAAAGGGUAAAACACAAAAUGAAGAAAAGGUGCCUCGUGAUGCAGAGCCUAACUCAGUCACUGAAGACUAGCGGUAGCAUUUAGUGACAAAUGGGUCAGCAGACUGAUAAGGUCUUUCAGAUGAUGAACAGUCUAACUGUGAGCUACAUGGAGUCACAGACCGUACUUUGGAAUUCCAGAUGGUGCCUCUUUUGUACAAAGUGUACUUUGUAGGCAAUCAGGAUUCAGGUUCUGUAUUCCUCAAUGUUUUGGGUUCUUCUACUGAAACCCUCGUACUGAAAAAUGAAGACAGCGUUUGGAGGACUGGCGAUUUCUGCAUUCCCUGGUAUGCAUUCAUUCAUCCUUACACUGUUUUGAGUGACUCAACUCAUAUACCUCUGCACUUGCUAUAUCCUGUUUCCCUUUUUAUUUAUUUUUUGGCAACUAAAUUAUAAAAGUAUAAGGUAUCGUUUGAAAAGUUGAACUAGGGGGAAAGUGGCGUUGGGUACUCAACCUAAGUGAUUAGGGGCUUUCUAUAUUUUUUAUUCUGUUUGUUUUGUCAAUAGUAAUUUUAAGCUGCCAAUUAUACGAAGUAUAUCUUUAGUAACAUCCUUAUAUAUUGAUUGAUUUGUCCAUAUAAUUUGUUAUUAUUAGGGAUAUUUUAGACUAUUCUAUAGGGGACACCAAAAUAUCAUUUGCGUUAAUGAACUCAAGAGAUAUGCUGCAUUUUUUCAUGUUCAUUAAAGACAUCUAUUCGGGAGGAUGGUAUACAAGUACACUGUUAGGUUGAGUAUGAUUUUCUAACAAUUAAACCAACGGGCAGAGUUAGAAAACUUUUCAUUUUGAAUAAUCUGUAGGGCCAAGAUUUGAGCAUUUACAUACCUUACUAGUGCUAGAAUUAGAACCUAACCCCUUAGCUUUUACUAUGCUUAAUGCUUUGUUUCAUGUAGUUUCCAAUAUAUAUUGCAUACUAAAAGCACAUUUCGUGACAUUAGAACUAAUGAGAAUAAAUUGGAAUUUGCCGUAAAAGUAUACAAUUCUGAAAUUUCAUCAACAAAUGUAUCUUAAUUACUUAUUGCUCCCUAUAUCAUCUGUUCAAAAUUGUCAAAGCUUUUACUCCUCUAACUAACCUUUCAUCCAAAAGAAGACAUUCUACUUUCUUGUUGGUGUUUCUUUUUCAUUUCCUUCUACACGAAAAUUUCUUGUUCGUUUCAAAUUCUUUCUUGCGGACAAGUUGUAUAAAUAGAACCAUAUUCCUUCUGCUUGAACCAUCUAUCACAAACAAACUUUUCUCCUUACAGAACAAUAAAAAUGUCAGGAAAACACUUGCUGCUUUUGCUCCUGUUUGCUGUUCUUAUCACCACUGGUUGUCUUGCUCAUCACGAUGACUAUAAACAUGACAAAAAGCCGCCUGAAAAAAAGCACCAUGAGAAAAAGCCCCCUAAAGAUGAUCAUUAUAAACCACCUGUUAAACAUGACAAGAAGCCACCCAUGAAGAAGGAUCCACCAGAAAAGGAAUACCCAACGCCACCUUACAAACCACCUUCCGUGGUUUGAAAAUCACCAAAUUGAUGCCUCCGACUUAUACCUAGUUUGCAUAAAUAAGACUGUCGUGGGACUCCUCUAAGUCUCGGAGUUUAUUUCAAUUUACCUAGUUUGCAAAAAUAAGACUGUCAUAUAACUGGUUGUUGAGCUUGUCUUGUGUACUGCACUUAUUGUGAGUUAAUGCUAUGUGUGAAGUGGAUUUUACCCAUCUAUUGUGCUCAUUUUAUUUUACGUUGCACCCUUUUAGACUAUUUACUCUGCUGUUUUUUCUUAUAAAUCUGUGGAAAUUUUGUUAAAAAUCAGGGGGAUUUUCCUGCAGUCUGCUUAGCAGAUGUUCUGUUUUGGUUCUUGCAGCUUGAUGAUUAAACUAAAGUUGAGAGUAAAUUAAGCAUUUAGCAUUUAGCAUUUGGAUUAGCUAGUUUGAGAGACAAUCUAAUAACAGAAAUCUUAAUUGGUCAAAAACUCAAAACAUCUCCUCUCGCGGGAUAUCAAACAUCUUCGAUUCAUCUUGUCUAACUUGGCCAUGGUUACCUGAUUCGCUAGUAUGAGAUUGGGUACGGGAUCACAAUUCGCUACCUACGUUGCUAAGUUAGACCAAAAUUGUACAAUUUUCAUGUUAUAAUUUGCCUUUCCGGUUUGCGGUUCGUGGGGUGAUUAGAGAAUUAGGUAACACUGAACUUGACUCAUUUUCUGAAACAGUUUGUUGGCAGACUUAGAAGUUAGCAGACUUAACACUGAUUGAUGCUGUAGAAUAAGAUUGUGAUCACGAUCAACGGAUAUUAAUGGAUAUCAUGUUGAAUAUGGAGAGUGAAUGUGGACCAUCAGAAACAAGCGCAUCUGAAUCUGAAUUCAGAAACUAACUCGUUCAACCAGAGCGGCUCCUUAUCGUAUUGACUUCCGAGGUGAUUCGAGUGUUGACUUAUCUGUUACGCUUGAUGAAUGGAGUAGGAUUGUAGGAAUAUAGUUGAAGGUAGUUAGUAAAAGUAUUGGUUUACAGCCGAAACAUAUGACUUCCUCUGAAUUAAGGACAAAGAACCACUUAAGUUUCAGUGAUUCGUAUAGUUCCACCAUAUUUUCGAUGUUUUCUGAAAAGCAAUAAAGACGGAGGUAAACUGGUAAUCAUCCAUAAUAUUCUGCAUCUUACCUUUUUUGGUUAGUUUAGGGACAGAGAUGUCCUUAACCAACCAUUCCCUUUCAUACUGAGAAGUCAACAUCUCAUGGAAGUAUGGCCUCAAACCGGGUUUUUCUUCCAACGGGCAACCCAUGCAUUUAGCCCAAUAAUUUUAGGCCACCGCCAAUUCACAUAUUCACACUCCCCAAACCAGCAUCAAAGUUGCCUCCGCUCCAAUAUAGGCUUACCAAGUAGCCUAGCCCGAGCCUUUAGCCGAGCUUAAAUGAUGUUCAAGCUCGGUUCGUUUAAGACAUUUUACGUUCGUGAGCUGAGCUUUUCAUUUAUUAGUCGAUCCGAGUUCAUAAACGAGAUUUGCAAUGUAGAGUUUAACAAUUUAAAAACAUAAUUUAGAAUGUGCACUAAUUUAGCAAUUUAAAUUCAAUAAUUAAAAUAUUUUUUAUUCAGUGAUAUGUUUUUUUGGAUGUUAAAAGUAAAAAUAUGUUUUUUUUUCUUCUAUAAUAAAACAAAUUUGUAUGGCAAAUUUGAUUAUAAACGUAAAUAGACGAGUUUUUUUUCAUGAACAUACUCCACUAGACAAGUUGUUCAUAAACUUAAAUGAACAAGUAUACAUAUGUUCAUGUUCAUGCUCGUUUAAACGAGUUCCGGAAAUUGUUCAAGCUCGACUCAUUUAUUAAAUAAAUAAAUUUUAACGAUAUUUAACUGAGUUCGAGCCCGUAUAGUUUAUUAAGAGUCUCAACUCAUUCACACCCCUAGUUAUUUUGUAGAUAUAGUCGACACAACAAAGCUUAUUUUCAUCUGUUACAAGGACGUCUUUAUAUAUUUAUUCCAAAAAUGACAGUAUAUAUUUUUCUAUGGUCUCCCUAAUACGCCCCUAUAUUUAUCAUCGGACUUAACUAAACGUCUUGCUAAUCCAAUAUCGGACAUACACCUAUCAACCCUCACAAAAAAUUAUGGCAUAUACCUUGAACUUGGAGGAAAUCUGCAUGAACACCCUAAUCACCAUAAACUUCAACUACUCUAAUAUUUUUAAUGAUCCUUUUUACACAAUCUUGAAAAAGUGUCAUACUUUGUUAAGACAAUUUAAAAAAAGGACUAAACCAUGUAACAAGAUUUCCUUCUUUAAGGAGUAAAUUUUAAUCAAGGUUAAGUAUAAAUAUUCAACAGGCCAAGCAUGUGGUGCACCAAAUAUAUGACCUUUUUAUAUCAUAUAGUUUUCUUAUAAAAUGCCCUAUUCUCUUUCAACUUUGAACCAUCUCACAGACAAUCUCACAGACAAUCUCCUUAACUGUUACAUACACCAUUAUCAUCAUCAUCAUCAUGUCUGGUGCGCGCUUGCUAGUGUUGUUCCUCAUGGCAGGAGUCCUCGGAACUGCCCAAUGCGUUGCUGAACAUCAUCAACACGGACAUCGCAAAGCCUCUCCACCGCACAACAAGGGUAUCGAAAGCUGUAAAUCAACAUCAGAACACAGAUCACUAGUACCACCUAAGGGUCACACCACUCACAAGGGAACAGACAAGAAAAAAUCACCCGUACCUUCUCAUCAUGACCGGGAAAAGACACCACAACAUGAAGUCCACAAGUCUCCUAGAAAAGGCGCUACUAAGGUAACGAAACCACCUGUUGGGCACGAACCACAAUCGCCCCCUAGUAGAAACGAGCUGCCCGUGAAGAAACUCCCACCACCCGGAAAGAAGCUUUCCCCUAUGCCGCCCCACAAACCACCCACCACCACCAAAUUCUAUUGAUCUCGAUCCACACGGGUUUUACCUAGGUGCAUUGCAUGAAUAAGACUAUACUACUAUAUGGUUGGUUACUAAUACUGAGUUUGUAAUUUGUUCUAUUGAUUUGUAUGUCUAAUUUGUCUAUGUUAUUUUACGAGUGAAGUGGGUUUAAAGCUUAAUUAAACAUCUCUGAAGCUUUAAUCAAACGUUGAUUUUAUCA